rnacentral:tRNA from 1 species
UGGCUCAGUGGUUAAGAGCACUGGCUGCUCUCCCAGAGGACCUGGGUUCAAUUCCUAG